AAAAAUAUAGUAUAAUUAAAUACAUCUCACUUACACUGAGAAUAUACUUAGCCUUUAAGUUGUUUUUA
rnacentral:tRNA from 1 species